rnacentral:rRNA from 1 species
UACGUAGACCCCUAGCGUUGUUCGGAAUCACUGGGCUUAAAGCGGGUGUAGGCGGAGCGGUAAGUGCCUUGUGAAAGCCCCGGGCUCAACCCGGGAACUGCUUGGCAUACUGCCGUUCUUGAGGCAGGUAGGGGUUACUGGAACCUUAGGUGUAGCGAUGAAAUGCGUAGAUAUCUAAGGGAACGCCUGUGGCGAAAGAGGGUAACGGGGCCUGUUCUGAAUCUGAGACCCGAAAGCGUAGGGAGCAAACGGG